rnacentral:lncRNA from 1 species
GACUCCGCCCAGGCAGCCCCGCCGCUGCAGCCGGCCUGGGCUAAGGUGGGGAGAAGACACCAGCACAGGCAGGGAGCAAGAGCCCCCAGCUGCUUCCUUUCAGGCAGCCGCCACAGAGGACCCAGUUUCCCUUCUCUCUUCUCUAUGCAGGUAGCAUGGGAGGAUGCCGCCUCCUCCAGGAAGCUCUCUAGCGCUUUUCCGAGUCCUGGAGCCAGGCGGGACUUCUCUGUGGUCGCCUAGAAGGGUAUGAACUUAGGGCAUCCCCAUCUGGGCUGUGAAGGUUUCUGACUUGGGGACCAGGUGCUCAGACCUUCCUGGAUGCUGCUUUCCACAAUAUCUCUACCAGGCAGGCAGGUUCUCUUCAUUUUGCAAAUUUGGUGAAACAGCAUUUGUAAAACUUUAGAAGCUUCCUUGGCUCACACAGGUGGUAGUGGCCCUGUCAGGAUUUGACCCAGGCUCUCGGAUUCCAGAGUUCCUGAAUUUAACCACCUGUACUGUGAUGCCUCCUUAUCAUGUGUGCAUCGUGCAUUACUAUUUUUUAUAGCCUGUAGGGUACUGAGCACCAUGCACACCUACAGUGAUCACAGGCACUGCCUACUGGAAGGUCUUCUUUGGCUGGGUUCCAGUUUCCUCAGACGAUGUAGGGCAGGGAGUUCCACUUGUUAGCAUAUCCCACAGGGCCUUUCUCUUCAAAUGGACCCCAGCAGCCAACCACACAGCUGCCUCAGCAAGCGUAGGAGAUGGCACAUCAGAGACCAACAAUUGUCAGCACAGCAAAACUGGGCAUUUCUUUUCUUACUGAGCUUUGCAGCUACCUACACAGUUGUGUGUGGCAUCUCCUCCUGGGUGCAAGGACAUGAGAUGACAUCAGCUACGAGCCUAUAUCCUUCAACCCUUGGAAGCCACUGAUCUGCUUUCUGUUUCUAUGGAUCCCCUGUUCUGGACAUUUCAUAUAAAUGGAACUGUAUG